rnacentral:tRNA from 1 species
GCAGCUGUGGCCUACUGGUUAGCGCUUCGGACUUGUAACCGGAGGUUGCCGGUUCGAACCUUGACCAGUAGGA